rnacentral:lncRNA from 1 species
CCUUGCCUUGAGUGUGCAUUGGACUUAGUGACUUGCUUCUGGACAACAGAAUAAUGCAGAAGUGAUGGAAUGUCACUUCUGAGUUUAGGUUAUAAAAAGACUGUGGCUUCUGUCUUGGGAGGGCUCUCUCAUACUCUCUCCUUCUUGGAUCUUGCUCUGAAGGAAACCAGCUGCCAUGCAUGAGGAUACUCCAGCAGCUUAUGGAGAAGUCCAUGUGGUGAGGAACUGGGGUCGGUCCACAACCACCUGAGUGAACCUGAAAGUGGAUCUUCCCCUCACUCAAGCAUUGAGUUGACUGCUGGCCCAACCAACAGUUUGUCUGCAACUUCAUGGGAGAUCCUGACUCAGAAGCACUCAAUUAACUCAUGAAAACGACUCCAGUAUGAAUGGUGAAUGUAAUUUAAUGUGUCAUGGAAAUGCAGAGCUGUAGAACUGAUUAUUAUGCCCAGUAUAAAUGGAAGAGCUCUAAUCUACGAGUGGAGGUGAAGCAUCCCCAGUGGCCAGGAGGACAACCUUGCCCAGUGACCUUUCCUAGAAGAAGAUUAUAUUGAAAUCAUCAAAGGCCAGUGCGGUGGUUCAUGCCUGUAAUCCCAGCACUUUGGGAGGCCGAGGUGGG